GACGAACGCUGGCGGCGUGCUUAACACAUGCAAGUCGAACGGAAAGGCCCUGCUUUUGUGGGGUGCUCGAGUGGCGAACGGGUGAGUAACACGUGAGUAACCUGCCCUUGACUUUGGGAUAACUUCAGGAAACUGGGGCUAAUACCGGAUAGGAGCUCCUGCUGCAUGGUGGGGGUUGGAAAGUUUCUGCGGUUGGGGAUGGACUCGCGGCUUAUCAGCUUGUUGGUGGGGUAGUGGCUUACCAAGGCUUUGACGGGUAGCCGGCCUGAGAGGGUGACCGGCCACAUUGGGACUGAGAUACGGCGCAGACUGCAACGGGAGGCAGCAGUGGGGAAUAUUGCACAAUGGGAGGAAGCCUGAUGCAGAAACGCAGCGUGCGGGAUGACGGCCUUCGGGUUGUAAACAGCUUUCGACUGUGACGAAGCGUGAGUGACGGUAAUGGGUAAAGAAGCACCGGCUAACUACGUG
rnacentral:rRNA from 1 species